AGUGAACGCUGGCGGCGUGCUUAACACAUGCAAGUCGAACGAGAACGGGUUAUAACUUGUUAUAACUGUCAGCUAAGUGGCGCACGGGUGAGUAAUGUAUAGGUAAUAUGCCUCUUACUAAGGGAUAACAAAUGGAAACGUUUGCUAAUACCUUAUACUCCUUAUUAACCUAAGCUAAUAAGGGAAAGAUUUAUUGGUAAGAGAUUAGCCUGUAUUGUAUCAGUUAGUUGGUGGGGUAAUGGCUUACCAAGACUAUGACACAUAACUGGUUUGAGAGGAUGAUCAGUCACACUGGAACUGAGACACGGUCCAGACUCCUACGGGAGGCAGCAGUGGGGAAUAUUGCACAAUGGACGAGAGUCUGAUGCAGCAACGCCGCGUGGAGGAUGACACAUUUCGGUGCGUAAACUCCUUUUAUAUGAGAAGAUAAUGACGGUAUUAUAUGAAUAAGCACCGGCUAACUCCGUGCCAGCAGCCGCCGUAACAC
rnacentral:rRNA from 1 species